rnacentral:lncRNA from 1 species
UUUGGCUGUACUUCUGGUUUUCAGAAGAUCUCAUAGUUGAUUAGAAAAAUAAUCUGUUAAAACUUUCCAGGUCAUGAAAGCAUAUUGUUGGGAGAAAAAACAACAAGUUGGAAUUAAAAACAAACAAACCAAGUAGGCUAGGCAAGGUCUUAGGCGUGACUGGAACCAGCUGAAGAAAAUGUGGCCCCAUCAGAACGUUCAGCAAGUCUUUGUAAUAAAUGCCCUUGGCAAGCAAACACCAUCAGAGCAAGAACUACUUUCCAGUACCAUUGAGAGGAAAGCACUGGCAAGCACUGUGGAAAUGUGCUUCAGCUACCCCAAUCCUACAUCAAUGUUGAGAUGACCCAGGACUGAACUGGAAGUAUACUGAGCUGAUCCUAAACCUGCCAAGAUGGGGUAACAGCAGAUGGAACUCCAAAAAUCUACUCAACAAAGGUAACACAGAUACCCAUUCCAAAAGACACCACCAAUGACAUAACUCCAGGUGUCCAAUUUCCAACAC